AAAAGGUCGCCUUCCCCUUUAAGGGUGGCCAUUUUGAAUUCUGUUCUCCGCGGCACACCUCCGACUAUCUGGCGGCACGCCGGUGAGCCACAGAAACACUAGUCUAGAGACAGUGCUCGAGGUCUGGACUCAAUGACCUCACAGGGUCCCUUCCAGUUCUAGGAUGCUGUGGUUCGAGAAUUCUAUGACAGCUUCUCAUACAAACUCUUUGCCUCUCCCCUCCACAUACACACCCCUGGGCGUUUUCUUUUUUUUUUUUAAUAAAUCUGAGAGCCCUCCCUACUGGAAGCUGCAGGGCGGGGUUUAUUCCGUGUGAGAGGACUGCUGGAGAGGAUGCACCGUGGGGAGGACCGACUCAGGUGGCGGAGAGCAAAUGAUGCUCCGUCGCGUCACUCGAGCGGGUUUGUAAUGCCAAGUGUCCUAAAAGUACAUUUCGGGAUAAAGAAGAGCCUUGAAUGCCGGUUGGUCAGGGUGAAAUUCACCAGCGGUAAUUUCACCGGCUGUAGCUUAGGGAUUGAUUACAGUCCAGUGUAGCAUAGGAACAAAGUCAAUAAAGCCCAGAGGCCCGGCCCCAGCACCGCGUCGCUGUGGGUCUGGUUGGUGUUUGCGGGGUGCCUUACGGCCGCUGGGCGAGGUGCGGGAUGAGCCAGGCGAUAGCUUGUCUUGGGCCAGCAUCCGUAAGGGAAAGCCAGGAACAAUGUGUGAGCUGCCCCUCAGUAGCUCCGGCAGAGCCCCCGCCCUCUCCCCGUGACUGGCAGGGCUCUCACCCGCCUCCCUGGGAACCGGCAGGGUGCAAUCAGGCCGCAGGAGAGAUGCACGAGAAAGCAAAGAGGCGCCGGGCCGGGUGAAACGGACACGACGCAAAACCAAAGGGAAAAGAAAAGUUAAAAAAGAUUUGACAAGGUGGUGCGCAUCUGCACAUGCCUCGGUGCACGGAUCAACAUUUAUACCGCACAGGAAAGGGGAACAUUGCCUGGGACCCCUCUUGGGCACUGCACUUUCCCACUGAAAGUGAGAAAAGUUCAACAUCACCACCACGGAUUCCCGCCUUGUGCAAAAUCUCUAUAAAGGCAGGAAGCCAAACAAUCGGGGCAGCUGCCAGAUGUAGGACACCCCUGCUGACAACCCAAGAUGCCUGCUGGAACCCUCUAAGACUGAACACCGGGAAGGAUCGGGGAGGCUUCCCAGUCUGCGAAAGACACUGAACUCAGGAGAAACAGUCCAUGUAACCGGUGUCUUAGAGUGGUGAGCGGAGCUGGUGCGUUUUGUUUUAUUUUGCUGAGUAACUUACUUUGCCCAGUGUGCUGCUGCUUAUAGCCACUUUCACCCUGCUUUGUAUACUCUUGUUUAUUAAUAAACCCAGUGUCUGUCACUGUAA